CCUACGGGGUGCAGCAGUCGAGAAUCAUUCACAAUGGGGGAAACCCUGAUGGUGCGACGCCGCGUGGGGGAAUGAAGGUCUUCGGAUUGUAAACCCCUGUCAUGUGGGAGCAAAUUAAAAAGAUAGUACCACAAGAGGAAGAGACGGCUAACUCUGUGCCAGCAGCCGCGGUAAUACAGAGGUCUCAAGCGUUGUUCGGAAUCACUGGGCGUAAAGCGUGCGUAGGCUGUUUCGUAAGUCGUGUGUGAAAGGCGCGGGCUCAACCCGCGGACGGCACAUGAUACUGCGAGACUAGAGUAAUGGAGGGGGAACCGGAAUUCUAGGUGUAGCAGUGAAAUGCGUAGAUAUCGGGAGGAACACUCGAGGCGAAGGCGGGUUACUGGACAUUAACUGACGCUGAGGCACGAAGGCCAGGGGAGCGAAAGGGAUUAGAUACCCCAGUAGUC
rnacentral:rRNA from 1 species